rnacentral:rRNA from 1 species
AGAGUUUGAUCCUGGCUCAGAUUGAACGCUGGCGGCAUGCCUUACACAUGCAAGUCGAACGGCGGCGCGGGGCAACCUGGCGGCGAGUGGCGAACGGGUGAGUAAUAUAUCGGAACGUACCCUGGAGUGGGGGAUAACGUAGCGAAAGUUACGCUAAUACCGCAUACGAUCUAAGGAUGAGAGUGGGGGAUCGCAAGACCUCAUGCUCCUGGAGCGGCCGAUAUCUGAUUAGCUAGUUGGUAGGGUAAAAGCCUACCAAGGCAUCGAUCAGUAGCUGGUCUGAGAGGACGACCAGCCACACUGGAACUGAGACACGGUCCAGACUCCUACGGGAGGCAGCAGUGGGGAAUUUUGGACAAUGGGCGCAAGCCUGAUCCAGCAAUGCCGCGUGAGUGAAGAAGGCCUUCGGGUUGUAAAGCUCUUUUGUCAGGGAAGAAACGGCCUGUUCUAAUACAGUGGGCUAAUGACGGUACCUGAAGAAUAAGCACCGGCUAACUACGUGCCAGCAGCCGCGGUAAUACGUAGGGUGCAAGCGUUAAUCGGAAUUACUGGGCGUAAAGCGUGCGCAGGCGGUUUUGUAAGUUUGUCGUGAAAUCCCCGGGCUCAGCCUGGGAAUGGCGAUGAAGACUGCAAGGCUAGAGUUUGGCAGAGGGGGGUAGAAUUCCACGUGUAGCAGUGAAAUGCGUAGAUAUGUGGAGGAACACCGAUGGCGAAGGCAGCCCCCUGGGUCAAAACUGACGCUCAUGCACGAAAGCGUGGGGAGCAAACAGGAUUAGAUACCCUGGUAGUCCACGCCCUAAACGAUGUCUACUAGUUGUCGGGUCUUAAUUGACUUGGUAACGCAGCUAACGCGUGAAGUAGACCGCCUGGGGAGUACGGUCGCAAGAUUAAAACUCAAAGGAAUUGACGG